rnacentral:lncRNA from 1 species
CAGGGGCGCGGCGGGGCCGGAGAGAGGCGGUCCCCUGGGAGGACGGGGUCUCCCCUCGUUGCCUUUGUAGUGGAGAAGGUGGACAAGUGGCAGUCGGCGUGAUCGCAGGAAGCGGGGCCGGCGCGGGCGGCCGAGGGUCCAGGCGAGCCCGCGGGCGGACGGGAGAUGCCGCUGCUACACCGAAAGCCGUUUGUGAGACAGAAGCCGCCCGCGGACCUGCGGCCCGACGAGGAAGUUUUCUACUGUAAAGUCACCAACGAGAUCUUCCGCCACUACGUGACUUUUUUGAACGAACCAUUCUGUGCAACAGCCUUGUGUGGAGUUGUGCUGUGACGGGUAGACCUGGACUGACGUAUCAGGAAGCACUUGAGUCAGAAAAAAAAG